UACAGAGGUCUCGAGCGUUAGGCGGAAUCACUGGGCUUAAAGCGUGUGUAGGCGGCGGCCUAAGUACCUUGUGAAAUCCCACGGCUCACCCGUGGAACUGCUCGGUAUACUGGGUCGCUUGAGCCACUUAGGGGCUACCGGAACAAAUGGUGGAGCGGUGAAAUGCGUAGAUAUCAUUUGGAACGCCAAUGGUGAAAACAGGUAGCUGGGAGUGUGCUGACGCUGAGACACGAAAGCCAGGGGAGCAAACGGG
rnacentral:rRNA from 1 species